AGAAUCACAAGAAAUGUUGCACCUUGUUCUCCUGUUUCUUGACCCGGAUCUAUGAAGAUUUCUGUGCCUUAAUCAACGCAAACAUAACAUAAGAAUUUCUUAUGCCUCCACCUGCCUAGCACAAGACGUUAAGGAGUGCAAGUUCAGGCAAAAGGGGAAUCAGAGUUGCUUUAUUUGGAGAAGGUGAGCUCACAAGCAGAAUCAUAAGAGCUAAAGGCGAAACAAAUACAUCAUUGGAAGAUCUGGGUGCAGAAAAAAAGGCCUUGUUUUCAUUUAUACACGUGGGAAAAACGUCUACCGUGGGAAAAACGUCUACCGUGGGAAAAAGAAACAGGAACAUGAGGCUUGUCCAAUAUGGUCCUUUGAGAGCUCUAUGUGGGGAGAAAGGAUUUACCUACGGGUUCAACACCACACCGCCGGCCCCACAAACUGCUGUCCCUGCUCUGCAGGUAUUUAACUGUAUCAAACAUCCUGGGACUUAAGAAAAAUAAUAAAAUAAAGAGGCAGCGGUCUCCAAGUGUACACUUUGGCAUUCUUUUCUCGGGGAGACCGAGCUGGAGGAGAGCCCUGCGCCCUGGAUGGUGUCUCUCAUCAUUAACAGAAAUCUGUUUAAAAGAGGUAAAAGCAGUAGGUUUCCACUGCUUUGCAGAAAUGCCAGAGGCAGGAGAGUGGGUCUUGCACAGCCAGGCAGCGCACCCCACCCUGAGCCUGCGUUGUUCAAAGCCACGAUUCAAGUAACCUUUUGUGCAAAGGUUUUCCCUUCCUAUUUGUUUUCGCCAUUACAUUAAGUUUAUUUCAACUGUUUCAUAUGUUUCCAGCGCUCUUGUUUCCCCCUGCCUUUCAAGUUACGUAAGCUUUGGGUAAGUUCGGCUUUUAAAAGGGUUUUUAAAUAUUAUCUU